GACGAACCGUGCGAACGUUGUUCGGAUUUACUGGGCGUAAAGGGCGCGUAGGCGGUCAGCACAAGUCAGUUGUGAAAUCUCCGGGCUUAACCCGGAACGGUCAAGUGAUACUGUCGUGCUAGAGUGCGGAAGGGGCUACUGGAAUUCUCGGUGUAGCGGUGAAAUGCGUAGAUAUCGAGAGGAACACCUGCGGCGAAGGCGGGUAGCUGGGCCGACACUGACGCUGAUGCGCGAAAGCCAGGGGAGCGAACGGG
rnacentral:rRNA from 1 species